rnacentral:rRNA from 1 species
AGUGAACGCUGGCGGUAGGCCUAACACAUGCAAGUCGAACGGCAGCACAGUAAGAGCUUGCUCUUACGGGUGGCGAGUGGCGGACGGGUGAGGAAUACAUCGGAAUCUACUUUUUCGUGGGGGAUAACGUAGGGAAACUUACGCUAAUACCGCAUACGACCUACGGGUGAAAGCAGGGGAUCUUCGGACCUUGCGCGAUUGAAUGAGCUGAUGUCGGAUUAGCUAGUUGGCGGGGUAAAGGCCCACCAAGGCGACGAUACGUAGCUGGUCUGAGAGGAUGAUCGGCCACACUGGAACUGAGACACGGUCCAGACUCCUACGGGAGGCAGCAGUGGGGAAUAUUGGACAAAGGGCGCAAGCCUGAUCCAGCCAUACCGCGUGAGUGAAGAAGGCCUUCGGGUUGUAAAGCCCUUUUGUUAGGAAAGAAAAGCAGCAGGUUAAUACCCCGCUGUUCUGACGGUACCCAAAGAAUAAGCACCGGCUAACUUCGUG